GGGGAGGCGGUGAUGUUGAAAACUACCUAUUUUAUGAAAGGGGUUUAUCGCCCUUUUCGUGAUUAGAAAACCAAUGGAUCCUUCUGAGCCUUCUC
rnacentral:snoRNA from 1 species